UUAAAAUACUUGCCUUGAAACAAAUUAUGGAUACAUUUGAUAUUAAGAUUUGAAUUACUCUUUAAACCGUGAGGUUUUUUGAGGUUGAGUACCGCCAAAGAUCACCUGAAAAUGAUCCUGUUAUCAACAUUGUUGUUAUAAAAGAUAAGAACCGAUGGAAAACCGUUGGUAUCAGUCACAACGGGUUGCUAAUUCAAGCUACAUGGAAGCUAACUGCUAACCGUGGUGGAGGACGUCGCUACGCCCAAACUGGUGGUUUUAAGGAAUAUAAGGAGGAUUGAGAUAAAGAGGACCACAUGGACGAGCUGCUUUAAUGCCUUAAAGGUACUUGCAGAGCCAGCCUCUAGUGGACACUUGAGGAACUGCAGCUUUUAAAACUUCCACAUGGGCUUCAAUUCUCCCUGCUGGAAGUUGCCACUGCUUUGAUGUCACGCCACCAAAGCUUUGGAUGGACGUUACGCAAUUCUUCCACUAGAGGGCGCUUGAAGAAACCGGUGUUGCGGGGACCUCUACUUCUGAUCCUCACCCAGCGGCUCUGUCACCUGUCCCUGUGUCUAAACGAGAGCUCCAUCACUGAGAAGAAGUCUCAGCAUGUCGUGUCUGGACUUUGACUCCUCUGCGGUGAAGUUUCCUAGAACUCUGCACACGUCUUCCUCCUGGAUGAAGGCCGGGGUGAUGCUGGAGUGACAGGCCUCAUGAUCAUCAUGACUGGGCUCUCUCUGGGAAGAAUCACACUUCAGUGGACUGACUGGCACCUCUGAAGGUGAAGCUGUGCUGCAGGGUGCUGAUACAGGUCAGACCAACAUCCAUAAACCCUCUCCAAACACACAGGGUUUUUUUAUAUUCAUAUUUUUGAGGCUUUCCUUCUCUCUCCUGGAGUCUUCUGUGAUGUGUCUCAGAGAGGAUUUCAGAGGAUCAAGUUGUAUUUGUUAAACUCGGGUGUUUUA